UUAAGUUAUUAAGGGCGCACGGUGGAUGCCUUGGCACUAGAAGCCGAUGAAGGACGUUACUAACGACGAUAUGCUUUGGGGAGCUGUAAGUAAGCUUUGAUCCAGAGAUUUCCGAAUGGGGAAACCCAGCAUGAGUUAUGUCAUGUUAUCGAUAUGUGAAUACAUAGCAUAUCAGAAGGCACACCCGGAGAACUGAAACAUCUUAGUACCCGGAGGAAGAGAAAGAAAAUUCGAUUCCCUUAGUAGCGGCGAGCGAAACGGGAAGAGCCCAAACCAACAAGCUUGCUUGUUGGGGUUGUAGGACACUCUAUACGGAGUUACAAAGGACGACAUUAGACGAAUCAUCUGGAAAGAUGAAUCAAAGAAGGUAAUAAUCCUGUAGUCGAAAAUGUUGUCUCUCUUGAGUGGAUCCUGAGUACGACGGAGCACGUGAAAUUCCGUCGGAAUCUGGGAGGACCAUCUCCUAAGGCUAAAUACUCUCUAGUGACCGAUAGUGAACCAGUACCGUGAGGGAAAGGUGAAAAGCACCCCGGAAGGGGAGUGAAAUAGAACCUGAAACCGUGUGCUUACAAGUAGUCAGAGCCCGUUAAUGGGUGAUGGCGUGCCUUUUGUAGAAUGAACCGGCGAGUUACGAUUUGAUGCAAGGUUAAGCAGUAAAUGUGGAGCCGUAGCGAAAGCGAGUCUGAAUAGGGCGUUUAGUAUUUGGUCGUAGACCCGAAACCAGGUGAUCUACCCUUGGUCAGGUUGAAGUUCAGGUAACACUGAAUGGAGGACCGAACCGACUUACGUUGAAAAGUGAGCGGAUGAACUGAGGGUAGCGGAGAAAUUCCAAUCGAACCUGGAGAUAGCUGGUUCUCUCCGAAAUAGCUUUAGGGCUAGCCUCAAGUGAUGAUUAUUGGAGGUAGAGCACUGUUUGGACGAGGGGCCCCUCUCGGGUUACCGAAUUCAGACAAACUCCGAAUGCCAAUUAAUUUAACUUGGGAGUCAGAACAUGGGUGAUAAGGUCCGUGUUCGAAAGGGAAACAGCCCAGACCACCAGCUAAGGUCCCAAAAUAUAUGUUAAGUGGAAAAGGAUGUGGCGUUGCCCAGACAACUAGGAUGUUGGCUUAGAAGCAGCCAUCAUUUAAAGAGUGCGUAAUAGCUCACUAGUCGAGUGACACUGCGCCGAAAAUGUACCGGGGCUAAACAUAUUACCGAAGCUGUGGAUUGUCCUUUGGACAAUGGUAGGAGAGCGUUCUAAGGGCGUUGAAGCAUGAUCGUAAGGACAUGUGGAGCGCUUAGAAGUGAGAAUGCCGGUGUGAGUAGCGAAAGACGGGUGAGAAUCCCGUCCACCGAUUGACUAAGGUUUCCAGAGGAAGGCUCGUCCGCUCUGGGUUAGUCGGGUCCUAAGCUGAGGCCGACAGGCGUAGGCGAUGGAUAACAGGUUGAUAUUCCUGUACCACCUAUAAUCGUUUUAAUCGAUGGGGGGACGCAGUAGGAUAGGCGAAGCGUGCGAUUGGAUUGCACGUCUAAGCAGUAAGGCUGAGUAUUAGGCAAAUCCGGUACUCGUUAAGGCUGAGCUGUGAUGGGGAGAAGACAUUGUGUCUUCGAGUCGUUGAUUUCACACUGCCGAGAAAAGCCUCUAGAUAGAAAAUAGGUGCCCGUACCGCAAACCGACACAGGUAGUCAAGAUGAGAAUUCUAAGGUGAGCGAGCGAACUCUCGUUAAGGAACUCGGCAAAAUGACCCCGUAACUUCGGGAGAAGGGGUGCUCUUUAGGGUUAACGCCCAGAAGAGCCGCAGUGAAUAGGCCCAAGCGACUGUUUAUCAAAAACACAGGUCUCUGCUAAACCGUAAGGUGAUGUAUAGGGGCUGACGCCUGCCCGGUGCUGGAAGGUUAAGAGGAGUGGUUAGCUUCUGCGAAGCUACGAAUCGAAGCCCCAGUAAACGGCGGCCGUAACUAUAACGGUCCUAAGGUAGCGAAAUUCCUUGUCGGGUAAGUUCCGACCCGCACGAAAGGCGUAACGAUUUGGGCACUGUCUCAACGAGAGACUCGGUGAAAUCAUAGUACCUGUGAAGAUGCAGGUUACCCGCGACAGGACGGAAAGACCCCGUGGAGCUUUACUGUAGCCUGAUAUUGAAAUUCGGCACAGCUUGUACAGGAUAGGUAGGAGCCUUUGAAACGUGAGCGCUAGCUUACGUGGAGGCGCUGGUGGGAUACUACCCUAGCUGUGUUGGCUUUCUAACCCGCACCACUUAUCGUGGUGGGAGACAGUGUCAGGCGGGCAGUUUGACUGGGGCGGUCGCCUCCUAAAAGGUAACGGAGGCGCUCAAAGGUUCCCUCAGAAUGGUUGGAAAUCAUUCAUAGAGUGUAAAGGCAUAAGGGAGCUUGACUGCGAGACCUACAAGUCGAGCAGGGUCGAAAGACGGACUUAGUGAUCCGGUGGUUCCGCAUGGAAGGGCCAUCGCUCAACGGAUAAAAGCUACCCCGGGGAUAACAGGCUUAUCUCCCCCAAGAGUUCACAUCGACGGGGAGGUUUGGCACCUCGAUGUCGGCUCAUCGCAUCCUGGGGCUGUAGUCGGUCCCAAGGGUUGGGCUGUUCGCCCAUUAAAGCGGUACGCGAGCUGGGUUCAGAACGUCGUGAGACAGUUCGGUCCCUAUCCGUCGUGGGCGUAGGAAAUUUGAGAGGAGCUGUCCUUAGUACGAGAGGACCGGGAUGGACAUACCUCUGGUGUACCAGUUGUCGUGCCAACGGCAUAGCUGGGUAGCUAUGUGUGGACGGGAUAAGUGCUGAAAGCAUCUAAGCAUGAAGCCCCCCUCAAGAUGAGAUUUCCCAACUUCGG
rnacentral:rRNA from 1 species